UCCUUGGUGAUUCAUAAUAACUUAACGAAUCGCAUGGCCUUGCGCCGGCGAUGGUUCAUUCAAAUUUCUGCCCUAUCAACUUUCGAUGGUAGGAUAGUGGCCUACCAUGGUCUUAACGGGUAACGGGGAAUUAUGGGUUCGAUUCCGGAGAGGGAGCCUGAGAAACGGCUACCACAUCCAAGGAAGGCAGCAGGCGCGCAAAUUACCCAAUCCCGAUCCGGGGAGGUAGUGACAAUAAAUACUGAUACGGGGCUCUUUCGGGUCUCGUAAUUGGAAUGAGUACAAUCUAAAUCCCUUAACGAGGAACAAUUGGAGGGCAAGUCUGGUGCCAGCAGCCGCGGUAAUUCCAGCUCCAAUAGCGUAUAUUAAAGUUGUUGCCGUUAAAAAGCUCGUAGUUGAACCUUGGACCUGGCUGAUCUGUCCUCCUAAUCGAGCGCACGGAUUCGGUCGGGUCUUUCCUUCUGGGGAGCCUCAUGCCCUUCGCUGGGUGUGUUGGGGAACCAGGACUUUUACCUUGAAAAAAUUAGAGUGUUCAAAGCAGGCCUUUGCUCGAAUACGUUAGCAUGGAAUAAUAGAAUAGGACGUCGGUUCUAUUUUGUUGGUUUCUAGGACCGCUGUAAUGAUUAAUAGGGACAGUCGGGGGCGUCAGUAUUCAAUUGUCAGAGGUGAAAUUCUUGGAUUUAUUGAAGACUAACUACUGCGAAAGCAUUCGCCAAGGAUGUUUUCAUUAAUCAGUGAACGAAAGUUAGGGGAUCGAAGACGAUCAGAUACCGUCGUAGUCUUAACCAUAAACUAUGCCGACUAGGGAUCGGACGGUGGUUUUUUUAUGCCCCGUUCGGCACCUUACGAGAAAUCAAAGUUUUUGGGCUCGGGGGGGAGUAUGGUCGCA
rnacentral:rRNA from 1 species